rnacentral:lncRNA from 1 species
CUAUCACACCUAUCAGCAGUACUACUCAAGCAUACAGAAUCAAUAGGGUUAGAGGUCUUAGCUAUUUGAAGAUGAUAUAACUGAUUCUUGCUGUCCCCUCUACCAAUAACUCUCCCAGUCUUCAAAUCUUGAAACUCAACUUCAUUUGGCCUGAACACUACUUGACAAUCAAGAUCAACUGUGGCCUUCUUCACUGAUAUCAAAUUUGACGUGAACUGAGGCAGAUAGAAAGCAGGUGAGUUCUUCUCAAACAGCUUGAGGUUUCCCACUCCU